GUGGGGAAUCUUAGACAAUGGGCGAAAGCCUGAUCCAGCCAUGCCGCGUGUGUGAAGAAGGUCUUCGGAUUGUAAAGCACUUUAAGUUGGGAGGAAGGGUAGUAACCUAAUACGUUGCUACUUUGACGUUACCGACAGAAUAAGCACCGGCUAACUUCGUGCCAGCAGCCGCGGUAAUACGAAGGGUGCAAGCGUUAAUCGGAAUUACUGGGCGUAAAGCGCGCGUAGGUGGUUCAGUAAGUUGGAAGUGAAAUCCCCGGGCUCAACCUGGGAACUGCUUUCAAAACUGCUGAGCUAGAGUACGGUAGAGGGUGGUGGAAUUUCCUGUGUAGCGGUGAAAUGCGUAGAUAUAGGAAGGAACACCAGUGGCGAAGGCGACCACCUGGACUGAUACUGACACUGAGGUGCGAAAGCGUGGGGAGCAAACAGGAUUAGAUACCCUUGUAGUCC
rnacentral:rRNA from 1 species